rnacentral:lncRNA from 1 species
UGCUUUUUGAACUAAUUUUAUAUUUUCCUUUUCCUUCUAAUUACUUAUUUAUCAGUUUAAUCAAGUAGACUUAUUUUGAAUGUUGAAUGAAUCGCAUCAGGUUCAACCCAUUGUUGAUGAUGUUCGUAAUAGAGGUGAUGCUGCAGUUAAAGAGUUAGUGCCUGUUCAAUAUUAUGCCUUAGUUGCAGUGUUUGUUUCAUCAACAAUUCUUACCCUGUAUCUGUUAUGGUCAAAUCCCCUUGUUUUCCACCUCCCUUACCAUAAGAAUGCAGAACAUGUAUUUACCUUUAACGAUUUAGGGGGAAAAAUAGAAUGCAGAACAUGUGUUAUUGAUCCAAGAAGUGCCUGUUUGAUAUUAUGCCUUAGUUGCAGAGUUUGUUUCAUCAACAAUUCUUACCCUGUAUCUGUUAUGUGAAAAUCCCCUUAUUUUCCACCUUCCUUACCAUAAGAAUGCAGAACAUGUAUUUACCUAUAGCGAUUUAAGGGGGAAAAAUAGAAUGCAGAACAUGUGUUAUUGAUCCACAUCAAAGGCCAAAGAUAUGCUCCAAAUGGAGGUGUUAGACUGUAUAAUAGUAAUGAAUAGUGUGAAGGGCAUCUCUUCUAGCACAUUAUAUUGUAGAAAAUUAUGUUGGGUUCUCAUUCCUCUUGCAUGGACCAAAAUUAUCUGAAUAUUAAUUGACAUUAAGAUGAGCUUUAUCACAUAUUCACACUCCACAUUUCUAUCUCUGAUCCAGUGCUCUUAAAAGCGAAAAACGAAAAGAAGCGACAAGGUUCCGCAUAGCAGAUCCAACUUGGUGACCUUUGUGUCUUUGCAACUAUAAACCUAAACAUAAAAUAUGAUUCUUGUGCCUAUUAUUAGAUGCUCUCUCUCCCUCUUUUUUUAAUUAGCUUAGGCAACAUUGUAGCAACAUUUCAAACUACUUCCUGUGUAUCUACUUUUUAGAAUACUUUUAUUAAUUAAUGCUAAUAAUUCAGUUUCAACCAAAGAUGAAGGUUUGCUACCGUGCUUUUGCAGCUUGUUUUUACUCUUUUUGUAACUGAUUCUUAUCAACUUUAGUUGCCAGUUUUUCAAUUGCUGGACAAACUAAGUUCAAACUUUCAAACCUUCAGAAUAUCCCUAAGUUUAGAUUGAAUAGUUAUGGAACUUACAAAAAUCUUCAGUUUUUUUGCUCCUUGUCGGCUUGUCCAUCACAUAUCGUUCUUUCAGAGUUAAUAGUUCCAUUUGAAAGUAAAAGAUGCCACUAUAGAAAAGUUAACAUGUCUUUUUAUUUUGAUGUUACUUUGGUAUGAUGUCUAUAACUUCCUGGGCAGUUAC